AUACGUAGGGGGCAAGCGUUAUCCGGAAUUACUGGGCGUAAAGGGUGCGUAGGCGGUUUAUCAAGUCAGGGGUGAAAGGCUACGGCUCAACCGUAGUGAGCCUCUGAAACUGGUGAACUUGAGUGUAGGAGAGGAAAGUGGAAUUCCCAGUGUAGCGGUGAAAUGCGUAGAUAUUGGGAGGAACACCAGUGGCGAAGGCGACUUUCUGGACUACAACUGACGCUGAGGCACGAAAGCGUGGGGAGCAAACAGGAUUAGAUACCCUGGUAGUCCACGCUGUAAACGAUGAGUACUAGGUGUCGGCUGUCGAAGGUCGGUGCCGGCGUUAACACAUUAAGUACUCCGCCUGGGGAGUACGCUCGCAAGAGUGAA
rnacentral:rRNA from 1 species